rnacentral:RNase_P_RNA from 1 species
AGUAAGCCAAGUGACUGCGCAGUAUGAAAGAAUUACUGUGAGGAAAGUCCGAGCUCCACAGGACAAGGGUGCCGGAUAACGUCCGGUGAUGGCGACAUUAAGGAAAGUGCAACAGAAAUAAACCGCCCCGCUUUUUAAGCGGAGCAAGGAUGGAAAGGUGGGGUAAGAGCCCACCGGCGGCACGGUGACGCGCCGCGUCCCUGUAAACCCCACCCGGAGCAAGAUUGAAAUGGGAGCACUCAAUGGCGGUCCGUCACGCUCCCCGUAAUCGCUGGAGCUGUCUGGCAACAGGCAGCCAAGAUAGAUGGUCACAUAAACAGAACUCGGCUUACGGCUUGC